GACGAACCGUGCGAACGUUGUUCGGAUUCACUGGGCUUAAAGGGCGCGUAGGCGGGUGAUCGAGUCUGGGGUGAAAUCCUCUCGCUUAACGAGAGAACUGCCCUGGAUACUGGUCAUCUCGAGGAAGGUAGGGGCAUGUGGAACUUCCGGUGGAGCGGUGAAAUGCGUAGAUAUCGGAAGGAACGCCGGUGGCGAAAGCACUCUGCUGGGCCGACACUGACACUGAGAGACGAAAGCUAGGGGAGCGAAUGGG
rnacentral:rRNA from 1 species